rnacentral:rRNA from 1 species
GACGAACGCUGGCGGCGUGCUUAACACAUGCAAGUCGAGCGGUAAGGCCCUUUCGGGGGUACACGAGCGGCGAACGGGUGAGUAACACGUGGGUGACCUGCCCUCAGCUCUGGGAUAAGCCUGGGAAACCGGGUCUAAUACCGGAUAUGACUCCAUGACGCAUGUUGUGGGGUGGAAAGCCUUGUGCGGCUGAGGAUGGGCCCGCGGCCUAUCAGCUUGUUGGUGGGGUGAUGGCCUACCAAGGCGACGACGGGUAGCCGGCCUGAGAGGGCGACCGGCCACACUGGGACUGAGACACGGCCCAGACUCCUACGGGAGGCAGCAGUGGGGAAUCUUGCGCAAUGGGCGAAAGCCUGACGCAGCGACGCCGCGUGAGGGAUGACGGCCUGGUUGUAA